CUGGCUCAGGAUGAACGCUGGCGGCGUGCUUAACACAUGCAAGUCGAACGAAGCGCCUCUAAUCGAAGAUUGAGAAAGCUUGCUUUGAUUGAUUCACCUUGAGGUGACUGAGUGGCGGACGGGUGAGUAACGCGUGGGUAACCUACCCUAUACAGGGGGAUAACAGUUGGAAACGACUGCUAAUACCGCAUAAGCGCACAGGACCGCAUGGUCUAGUGUGAAAAACUCCGGUGGUAUAGGAUGGACCCGCGUCUGGUUAGCUAGUUGGUGAGGUAACGGCUCACCAAGGCGACGAUCAGUAGCCGACCUGAGAGGGUGACCGGCCACAUUGGGACUGAGACACGGCCCAAACUCCUACGGGAGGCAGCAGUGGGGAAUAUUGCACAAUGGGCGAAAGCCUGAUGCAGCGACGCCGCGUGAACGAAGAAGUAUUUCGGUAUGUAAAGUUCUAUCAGCAGGGAAGAAAAAUGACGGUACCUGACUAAGAAGCUCCGGCUAAAUACGUGCCAGCAGCGGC
rnacentral:rRNA from 1 species